rnacentral:rRNA from 1 species
AGUAUUUUGACUAUACAAAGGUAUUGAAAUAAGACUUUAAUUGAGUGCUAAGAGAAUGGAAUUUCAUAAAAUUUCUUUUUUAAUUUUAAAAAUUGAAAUUAAUUUUAUAUGUGAAGAAACAAUAAUAAAAAUUAAGGACAAGAAGACCCUAAGAAUUUUAAAAAUUUCAAUAAAAUGCUGCAUUUUAUUGAAAUUUUUUAAUUGGGGCGAUUAUUAAAUAUUAAAAACUUUAAUUUUUUAAAAAAGAACCAAUAAUAUUGGUUAUUUGAAAAAAUACUCUAGGGAUAACAGCGUAAUAAUUUUUGAUAGUUCUUAUAGACAAAAUAGUUUGCGACCUCGAUGUUGGAUUAGGAUUCUUUUUUAAUGAAGAAGUUAAAAAAAGAAGUUUGUUCAACUUUUAAAAUCCU